rnacentral:rRNA from 1 species
UAGGAAAUCUUCGGCAAUGGACGAAAGUCUGACCGAGCAACGCCGCGUGAGUGAAGAAGGUUUUCGGAUCGUAAAACUCUGUUGUUAGAGAAGAACAAGGACGUUAGUAACUGAACGUCCCCUGACGGUAUCUAACCAGAAAGCCACGGCUAACUACGUGCCAGCAGCCGCGGUAAUACGUAGGUGGCAAGCGUUGUCCGGAUUUAUUGGGCGUAAAGCGAGCGCAGGCGGUUUCUUAAGUCUGAUGUGAAAGCCCCCGGCUCAACCGGGGAGGGUCAUUGGAAACUGGGAGACUUGAGUGCAGAAGAGGAGAGUGGAAUUCCAUGUGUAGCGGUGAAAUGCGUAGAUAUAUGGAGGAACACCAGUGGCGAAGGCGGCUCUCUGGUCUGUAACUGACGCUGAGGCUCGAAAGCGUGGGGAGCAAACAGG